AGAAAAAAUUUUCCCUUAACAGAGCUUAACAAAUACUUUAUUUAACUUAAAAUCAAUGUGAUUAUUUGAUUUACUUACUCUUACAAAUCACUGAAAUUACCUUGAGGCAGCUCAAGUUCACGUUUCUGGAAUUAAAUCUGUUAAAUGAUAGACAUCAUCUAAUCAUCUUCUUGAAAAGAUACCUCAACUUUUUGGCUUAACAGGAUACAGUUAUAUCACUUCUAGUUACAAAUGAGUUAAGCUAGAUCUUAAGCUACAAAAGACAAAAAAAAAAAAAAAAGAAGAAAACAAAAACAAACAUAGUUGACAAAAAAGAAAAUGCUCCUUCUCGUACCAAAAGAAAGUCGCUGCUGAUGAAGUAAUUCAAAAGUCAUCAUAACAGUUGCUAAAAUUAAAGCACAUAAACAAUUUAAGCUAUCAAGAAAUUCAUAAAGUCUGAAGAAAAAAUUCUUGAGACUAAAAGGAAAACCUUUUGGCCCACCGCACAGGUUGGGCACAAAAGUGCUUGCUAAGCUAUCUAUUUCACACAUGCAACGACAGAAGGUUCGAUAUUCAUUCGAUCGAUGAGUGAAAAGGCACAAUGGCAAAAUCAGACAGACUUCUUUUGAAAUACAGAUCUCCAAUGUCCCCCUACAGUCUACAGAUGCACGGCUGGUGGCGUGGCUCAGACGGAGCAAGGGUUACAUCAAGGCUGUUCUCUGGACCGUGCAAACAGUCUAGACCAAUGACCUGCAGCAUCAUGCCCUUUGAAGAAGAGGCAAGUUCGGUCAUGAUGAAGAAAAAUCAAGGCGUACCCCUUUUAACAAUAGGGAGCAGCUCGAGGCUGCAAAGAGGUUAUUGAUCAUUAAAAUGCCAUUGUAAAGGGAUGACUCAGAAAUAACAGAGUUUGUUGCUGCUUCUGAGACAAAGAACUCUUGAUGUCAAGAUUUGAAGAGAGAAGAAAUGAAAUACAGAAUAUGGGCAUCCUUGAAGGGUAAUCAGAGAACCGCUCACAUGCCUCAAGGGAAAAACUUAAAAUGGAUAUGAGAAGUGAAGAAAGUGAUCAUAGGAGAAAAUCAUCUCAGAUCAACCACUUCAGAAGAACCAGAUUCCACUUCUGUGGCCAGGACUUUUAUGUUAUGGCUGGUCCGAUUGUUUUACCCUGCGUUCUAUGCUACUAAACCUUGGAUCAUUCCUAAAGUACAAAUUCUGUUCUCGAACCACAAACAAGGCUAAAAGAUCGGAGGAAAUUCAGUGAAUAUGCAGGAUUGGGAUUGUGUAUUUUCAAAAGUAUUGAGCUUUAUAAUGCAAUUGUUUAAAAGUAGAGCCUUUUUUUUUUUCUUAUGUUGCCAGCAUUUUAAGUUACGUGUUUAUUAAGUGGCAUUGCUCAAAUAGCUACAGAGUAUGCAUGGAAAUAUUGGCUGUCUGAAUAGUUUGGAGAUUCAAAGAGAAAUAGCAAGCUUCAGAGGUAUUAAAUUAUGACA